GUCACUCGUUUGGUACUACGAAGAACCCAUUGGAAUACUUGCAAGAUGAUGAGAAAACUAAGCAAAGGAAACAGAAAUCGAUAUAUGGUCGGAUAUAUGACCGAGUGGUAAACGUGUUUAGUGUUCCUAUGGAACCUAAGGAAAGAGAAAAAAGUUCAGUAUAUGAUCCUGGAAGUCGCUCGUUUGGUACUACGAAGAACCCAUUGGAAUACUUGCAAGAUGAUGAGAAAACUAGGCAAGGGAAACAGAAAUCGAUAUAUGGUCGGAUAUAUGGUAAGUUUUAAUCAUGUGCCAUAUUAAUUAAGCUCUGUUCUCUUGUUAUAUGUUAUCAUUAAUAUCACAACAAAUUUCCGAUAUCUCAGCUACAUAUAUGAAAAAGUUAAUUUUUAAAAAUGUUCUAUAAACAUGGUUGUUCAAUCUUGCAGAGAAACGUGAAUUAUAAUUAAAGAGAGGUUUCAAUUCUGAAAAAAAAAACGCUAUAGUAUUUCCCAGGGAGUACCAGUCAGUGUGAUAAAUGCACCUAUACCAAUUUCAA